AUAUCGAAAGACUUACGAUUCGAACUUGGGAUGACUCAGUAUUGCCAUCUCCAUGGAUUCUCCAGGCCGUUUGUAUUCUCCUGCUCUUCGUUCAUGUGAGUGAAACUCUUCGUUUCUUUGAGAUUUUCUUCUAAUUAUUCCUUCAGUUCAAUCAAAUUUCUUCUCAUUUUCAUGGUAAAACUCUUAAUCUGUUAAUCCCUAUUUCCGAUCUUUUGAUACUACCAUCAAAUUUCUUCAGUUUUUGUAUGGGUUUCCUGAAUUUUCCACUUUGGUGAUUUGAGGUUGGCAUAGCUUCAGUUUGUUGCGGUUAACAACUGAAUACAAGUUCCAAUCAUCUUCUCUUUAGGACGUGUUAAUUGAGGGAUUUAACUUUUCGAUUGUGUUUUUGAAUGGUGAUUAGAACGAGUUUGAUGAUUCCAAAAUUUUAUUCAAUCUAUUUUCAACAGUUUCUUCCAUGAAUUAAGUGUGGUGUUUACAGGUCUGUCCGUUUGGAAGCUAAUCCGGCAAAUUUCCAAGUCCCAGUCCCUGAUUUUUUUCUUUUUUUGUGUUUGAGGACAAAUCAAACGCUGUUUCUCCUUGAUUUUUCCUAGUUCGAUUCCACCCAUUCUGAUUGUCCAUUGAGUUCAUUUUGGGAGUUGUUUUUACCUCCCAUUUUCGUUACUCUUUGAGUCAGUAUGAUGUUAUUGGGUUGUCUUCAUCAACAUCAUGUUAGUUUAAGUUCUGCUUCAAUGCCGGGUCCUUUUUCGCCUUUAGAAUCAGCUGCAUAUUCUGGUAUGUAUUUUCAAUGUCCUUUUAGGGGUUACGAUAAUUGCAGAAAUGGGGUUGGGGGUAAGGUUUUGUUGAAGUAUUCUCUGUUAAAGCAUCUCAACGAUAUUCAUAUGGUCAAUGGUGAGGAAAUUUCCAGUUGUAGACAAAGAAUCGAGAAUAAUCAUGAAACUUUCUCUGCUUGGGAGGAAGUUCUUAUAUAGUUAAAGAUGUGGUUGUGUUCAACAUGUAUGAAAAUUCAUGCAUGGAGCAGGCCAUGUAGUUCACAUAAUGGGGACAUGAUUCUAGCCCCCUUCAAUGGGUACAAUGCAGAUUUCUUAAUCCACAGUAUCAACCGCCCUACAGUUCCUGUCGAGAAUACUGAUAAUAAUGUGGUUGCUGAGUAUGUGUCGUGUCUUAACCGCAACAUCUGAAUUGUGUCUUCCAAAAACAGAUUCCCUAAGGUGAAGACUAUUCCCCCUAAAUGUAGGCUCCAAUUUUCGAGAGUUCUCAAGUCUAUGUUGGAUAAGGUAAUAUCUUACCCUGGUGAUACCUCCACAUGGAUACAACUUCUACUGUUGCCUAUUUGUAUUUUGCGUGUUUACUCUCCAAAGUGUAGUUUUGAGGAGAAGUCAAGCAUAAGAAACAAAUUGUAGGCUGCUUCCAUCAACCAGGCGAUCAUGAGAAUGGCGUGAACCAGAUGGAUAUAGAUUAUUGGUACACAAAAUUUGCGCAUAUGUCGUAAAAAUAUCAGGAAUGACUUAUUCACUGCAGCUAUCAAAGUGUUGUCCUCAAACGACAUAGCUCCAAAUGAUGAAGCAACUCUUAAUGAAUUGUUAGAUAAACAUCCUCAAGAUCCUCCACCACAUAUACCCCCUCAUCAGGCUCACUUGGACAGCAUUAGCACCAACAGUGAGGUUGUCCUCAACAGGCUCAAGAGUUUUCCUAAAGGAACUGCAUGUGGUCGUGAUGGUUUGAGAAUCCAGUAUCUUAUGGAUGCUCUCAGUGGUCCUGCAGCAGCUGUUGUACAUGAGCUGCUUUCUUCAAUUACUCAGGUUAUCAAUCUUUGGUUAUCCGGUAUGUGCCCUCUUCAACUAGGUGAGUUUGUGGCUAGUGCACCACUCACCCCGCUUCUUAAACCGGACGACAACAUUAGGCCAAUAGCUUUUGGAGAUGAAUUGUCUCUAAAGUCACUGCCCAUACUGUGUGCAAAGAGAUGAGUUCAUUUUUGGAAGACUACCAAUUUGGGGUUUGUAUACCGUGUGGGGGGAAGCGAUUUUGCAUCCCGUUAAUAGAAUGCUUGAGGAAAAUGGUCAUAUGAACUCAAAAACUAUGAUCCUAGUAGACUUUUAUAAUGCUUUUAAUAUGGUUGACAGGUAUUCCAUGCUGCAGCAGGUUAGGUGUGUUUGUCCUUCCAUUUACAAAUGGGUGGAGUUUUGUUACUCUGCUCCGACAAGAUUAUAUUACGGGGAAUGCAUUCUUCGUCUGCAUAGGGGGUAUAACAAGGAGACCCAUUGGGCCCUCUCCUAUUUUCACUCACUCUACAUCCCCUGGUGAAGAAAAUUGCUGAGCAAUGUGUCUUAGAUCUUCAAGCUUGGUAUCUGGACGACGAUACUCUAAUUGGUGACACUUUGAUGAUCUCUAAGGCUCUGUGUAUAAUUCAAGAGGAUGAUCCGGCUCUUGGUCUCCAUCGGAACAUUUCUAAGACUGAAAUUUACUUGCCAUCCGAUGCUCGUAGCUUUAUAGAGGGUGUCUUCCCGGUUCAUAUUUCCAGACCGAAGAACGGUGUCAAAUUAUUAGGGGAACCGUUAGCCUUGAUCAAGAUUUUUGCAGCAAAAUGGUUUUAUGUAGAGUUAAUAAAGCCACCAAACUCAUGUAAUCUAUUCAUAAACUUAAAGACCCUCAAAGUGAGUUACUCUUGUUACGCAAUUGUGUUGGCGCUUCGCGUUUAUAUUUCACAAUGAGAACCACAAAGUUAUCGGCAGUUCAAGAGGCCCAAGUAGUUUUUGAUUCACACCUUCUACAGUACAUGAGCUUGUUGGUGACGACGAAUCCGGGUUUCGGUGCCCGUCAACAACGCCUAGUUACAUUGCCUAUCAGGAAAAUGGAUAUUUUUUGCGACCAUGAUCUUCACCGUGCACAUGAGGUUGGUUUUUAAGUUUCUACAUGACAUGGUGUGUGACAUUAUUGUUGAUAUGUGUUGUUGGUCAUGCAUCACUUCGAGAAAGGAGGUGGCUUUAGGUUUCUUAUCUAGCAAUGGGGGCGGGUUGAAACCUGUGGAUAUCCUUGUACAUAAUUGGGAAAAUGGCCGAGAUAUGUGUUUUGACGUUACAGGUGUAUCUCCCUUUUCUGGUGGUGGUGUUCGCACUUUCCGUCCUGGGCUUGCUAUUGCAAAUGCGGUUUCUCGCAAACGUUCGAAGUACUUUGAUAUAUGUCAGUCACAUGGAUAUGGAUUUGGUACUUUGGCUUUUUCAACUUUGGGCGAACUCGGAGAAGACACAUUGAGUUUUUAAAGCGGAUGAAUAAUUAUUUAUUUAGAUAUGAUGUUAAUGCUAGGAAAAACAUAUUUUCCUUUCAUAGAUUAGGGAUUGUAAUUCAGAAAGGCGUUGGAGCCCAGCUUGUGGCUAGGCUUGCUAACAACUUUUUGUAGACCCUUUCAAGGUCAUAAUUUGAUAGUGUUAAUAUCUUCGUAUAUUGUACGAACAAACAAAUCUAUUUAAUAUCUUU